rnacentral:pre_miRNA from 1 species
CAAAAGACUUGAAGCAAUUUUAAGCUAUUAAAGCUUAAAACUGCUUUAAGACUUUUAGG